rnacentral:rRNA from 1 species
GACGAACGCUGGCGGCGUGCUUAACACAUGCAAGUCGAACGGAAAGGCCCUGCUUUUGUGGGGUGCUCGAGUGGCGAACGGGUGAGUAACACGUGAGUAACCUGCCCUUGACUUUGGGAUAACUUCAGGAAACUGGGGCUAAUACCGGAUAGGAGCUCCUGCUGCAUGGUGGGGGUUGGAAAGUUUCGGCGGUUGGGAUGGACUCGCGGCUUAUCAGAUUGUUGGUGGGGUAGUGGCUUACCAAGGCUUUGACGGGUAGCCGGCCUGAGAGGGUGACCGGCCACAUUGGGACUGAGAUACGGCCCAGACUCCUACGGGAGGCAGCAGUGGGGAAUAUUGCACAAUGGGCGGAAGCCUGAUGCAGCAACGCCGCGUGCGGGAUGACGGCCUUCGGGUUGUAAACCGCUUUCGCCUGUGACGAAGCGUGAGUGACGGUAAUGGGUAAAGAAGCACCGGCUAACUACGUG